AGUGGUAACAGAGCUUCAUGCAGAACAUGCAUUUUCACCACAUUCCCAUGGCCAAUUUCUUCCUUCUCUGAACUCAUUCCUUUGGUGGACUUCACCCCAGUCCGCCAGAAAACACACUCACGCCCAACUUUUUUUCGAGAACUAUCUCUUUCUUAUAUCCAGUGCUGAUACCACCACCACCAGCUGGUCCAUUAGUAUACAAUGCUGUAAACUCUCUUGUAAAUAGGACUGCAUGCUCUUUCAACUCAAAUAAUCCAUCCAUGUGUAGCCUUAUGUCUCCAUUAGUGGUCCAUGAUGAAGUGUUAUCGUUAAUCCUAGAGGCCUUCAGGCUAUCAAGUCCAAUAAUACAUGAAACUACAUUACAGCUAACACCUGGA
rnacentral:misc_RNA from 1 species